UCUAAAAUGGCAGAUUAGUGCAAUGAAUUUAAGCUUCAUAAAUAAAGAAUUCUCUUUUUUUAGAA
rnacentral:tRNA from 1 species